rnacentral:rRNA from 1 species
ACGCUCGACACCUACGGGAGGCAGCAGUGGGGAAUAUUGCACAAUGGGGGAAACCCUGAUGCAGCGACGCCGCGUGGAGGAAGAAGGUCUUCGGAUUGUAAACUCCUGUUGUUGGGGAAAAAGAGGAUGGUACCCAACAAGGAAGUGACGGNUAACCCCCCCUAGUACCAGCAGCCGCGGUAAUCUGAGCGGGCUGGCAAGGC